rnacentral:rRNA from 1 species
UACGGAGGUGGCAAGCGUUGCUCGGAAUCACUGGGCGUAAAGGGCGCGUGAGGCGGGGAGGUAAGUCGGGUGUGAAAUCCCUCGGCCCAACCGAGGAACUGCGCCCGAGACUGCUUCUCUUGAGUCCCGGAGAGGAAGAUGGAAUUCCCGGUGUAGCGGUGAAAUGCGUAGAUAUCUGGAGGAACACCGGUGGCGAAGGCGGAUCUCUGGGCCAUUACUGACGCUGAGGCGCGAAAGCGUGGGGAGCAAACAGG